rnacentral:rRNA from 1 species
AUAUCUUUUCAUACCACCCUGAACACACCCGAUCUCAUCUGAUCUCAGAAGCUAAGCAGGGUCGGGCCUGGUUAGUACUUGGAUGGGAGACAAUGUAGUUUGAAUGGAGAAUUUA